AAAGUGGAGCAAUCCAUGAGUAGAGUGGCAAACGGGUGAGUAACACGUGGGUGACCUGCCUUCGAGUGGGGGAUAACGUCCCGAAAGGGACGCUAAUACCGCAUGACAUCCUGCCCUUGAACGGGUGGAGAUCAAAGCUGGGGAUCGCAAGACCUAGCGCUUGGAGAGGGGCCCGCGUCCGAUUAGCUAGUUGGUGAGGUAACGGCUCACCAAGGCAACGAUCGGUAUCCGGCCUGAGAGGGCGGACGGACACACUGGGACUGAGACACGGCCCAGACUCCUACGGGAGGCAGCAGUGGGGAAUUGUUCGCAAUGGGCGCAAGCCUGACGACGCAACGCCGCGUGGAGGAUGAAGAUCUUCGGGUCGUAAACUCCUUUCGAUCGAGACGAACGGCUCUCGUGCUAAUCAGCGAGAGAGUGACGGUACCGAGAGAAGAAGCCCCGGCUAACUCCGUGCCAGCAGCCGCGGUAAUACGGGGGGGGCAAGCGUUGUUCGGAAUUACUGGGCGUAAAGGGCUCGUAGGCGGCCAACUAAGUCAGACGUGAAAUCCCUCGGCUUAACCGGGGAACUGCGUCUGAUACUGGAUGGCUUGAGGUUGGGAGAGGGAUGCGGAAUUCCAGGUGUAGCGGUGAAAUGCGUAGAUAUCUGGAGGAACACCGGUGGCGAAGGCGGCAUCCUGGACCAAUUCUGACGCUGAGGAGCGAAAGCCAGGGGAGCAAACGGGAUUAGAUACCCCGGUAGUCCUGGCCCUAAACGAUGAAUGCUUGGUGUGGCGGGUAUCGAUCCCUGCCGUGCCGAAGCUAACGCAUU
rnacentral:rRNA from 1 species